CUGCCGCCCGCCGCGGCCUCUGAGGCGCCGCUUCCCCUCCGCCCCCCGGCGGGCUCAGCGCUGUCCCCGCCGCCUCCCGGAGCCCCAGCCGUGCCGGCUGCUGGGGGCCGGCCCUUCUCCCGCCGCUCAAACGUGAGGCGGAUGCAGCGGGGGCAGGUUUGGGCCCAGCCGGGCGCAGGGUCGGGGUCUCCUCAGGGGUUUGCCGCGUUGCGCCGUUGGUUACUCGGUGUUUAAGCGAGCCGGUGUUUACCCAGGGCUAGCCCUGCCGCGGGCUCCCUACCGUGMCCGUGUCAUUCACUCCCGUGACGUGCCCCGAAAACCUCUGAGAAAUUUCUGUGCUGUACAAAGUGCAUUGCAACAACCAAGAAUAUGUUUAUUUAAACUCUGUUGUGGAAAGUUAUUGAGUUACUUACUCAAUGACUAUUUCUGAGGGCUGAUUCACACCUGUAUGAUAAACCAGCCGCUGUUGGCUCAGGAAAAAUCAUACCUGAACGGCAAAGUAAUCUACAAGGAGGAGAAUCAGUUCCACCCGCAGYGUUUGCUCAGCUGAGUUCCUUGGCUAAUUUUGGUGCUGAUGUUCUGCUUCUGUUACCAGAAAGGCCAGCGCUGCCUCCGUGCCGGCCCAUGGCACACACGGGAUGCGGGAGCAGUGAUGUCAGAGCCAGCUGGAAGGAGCUGCAGCUUUCCCGGCCCUCCUGCAGCCCCAAGGGAUGGGAAAGUUGCCUAAUAGGUCCCUGCUGAAGAAGCUGAAGACAUCACUGAUAGAACCAGCUUGUUGUUACRUGACAAUGCAAUAUCCUGCCCAACGGAUCAGUCAAUAACCAGCCGUCUUCUUAAGUAAUGGAAAAAGGCAAACAUGUCUUCAUGUUCCUGAUGUCAGGUUUUAUACCAUAGCAACAAAGCUGCAUUAGCACACUUUUUUUUUUUUUUUUUUUGUAGAUGGGCUCCAUAUCUAUGUUCAAUUUUUAAUUCUAUGUAAUAGACUAAUCUACUGUAGCAUCUAAUAAACUAAAUCUGUUAAGAGUUCCUCA
rnacentral:lncRNA from 1 species